rnacentral:lncRNA from 1 species
UCCUUCCUCCUCAGAACGAUCGUAGGGGCAAGUGGACACCUAAUUAUGAGGGUCCAUUCGUGGUCAAGAAGGUUUUCUCUGGCGGAGCCUUGUUGUUGACGAUGUCGCAUCUCGAAAAAUACGAUUCCUCGCGAUGGUCGCGGAAAAAUUUAGUUCGAACAUAGUCGCCACCGAACUUUAUUUAUUCCAAUGAAAGAAUAGGAAAAUAUCGAUAAAACCUUUUAAAAAAUGGAAUAAUGAUCGUCGCAACCAUAUUCGGGUUCG